CAUAGGGUUAAUCGACGGAGGCCAGAGUGACAGCAGUAAACAACAGUUAAGUGUUUAAAAGUUUAAUGACAGCUGACGAACUGACAGAACUCUUUGUGACUGAAGGUUGAUAAACAAACAUCUAUCCCUCAGUCACGGAACUAGCAUUUGAUAACGCGUGUGUAAAGCCUAACUAACAAGAUAACAUCUAAGUAAAACUCGCGAAUGACUCCCCAGAUUUGGUAUGCGGCUGUAUUAUGACAACGUAAAUGGUAUAUAUUCGUCCUAUAAUCCAUGAGCCAAAUGACUCGGUCAGUAGCAUCGGGUAUGGAGGUGGAUGGGGAAUGCGUACUGUGACUACACUGAAGGUCUUUAUAUUUAUCAAGACCGUAGGAGCAAAUAGGAGCAAAGAGAGUUGAUGUGUCAUACAUUUCACACAUGCCAACAGUAUUGGCAGUAUUAACAUCGAUAAAAGCAUCAACAAUGUUGACGGCCAGGGAUGUUUCAACAUGUGACAAAGAGACGAACGUUAUACCGAUGACCAGUAACUGAGGUGGUCCCACAGGCGCUUGACACAUAUUAGUAUACAUAAAUAAACUUGUUGUAUAAUUUGAUAUAUUUUAACAAUAGUUUAUUUAUGACAAAAAUGUCGAUCCCUACUACAAUGUAUAUACAAGAUACAAAGUCCGAGCGUAAUGAUGUGGCGCGGAAUUGACUCCAACCGUACCCUGAGACCUGCGUUCUCCCACAGAGUUGUCCCUGGUCAAAGGAAUUGCAUCACUACUCAGCAUUAUAUACCCAAUCGGCGAUAUGCACGUCCCUUUUUCCCAGUAUCACAGAAACGUGUAUAAGUAAGACAAUGCAAGCCCAUACUCGGUUAGGAUCACUCGGAACUUCUCCUUGAACAGAACAACAUUAAGAUGAUGGCCUGGUCCACCCUCAACCAUAGUCUGAACCGUAUCAAUCACUUUUGGGAUCAACUUCGAAGAAAACUCAGCGGAAUAUGUCCUAGUCCAAAAACAGCUGCUCGGCUCGUUGAGGCUUAGGAGAACAUCCCUUACGGUGAUCCACUCCAGGAGACGCCAGUGUCAGGUUGUUAUUAGCACCAAUGGGGGUCAUGCGUCAUAUUGACAAACUGAGUGACGUACUUUGUUCAUGCACAUGAUGAAUAUAACAUUUUACUGUUCGAUAAACAUUUUGAGUAAACUUGAAAUUGAUUUUGAUUGAAACUUUGUCCAAAAUUCUAAAUAUAAUUAAAACUUGAAAAAGCAAAAA